UGUGUCACUCCCCAGCACAAUUUGGUAGU
rnacentral:piRNA from 1 species